rnacentral:lncRNA from 1 species
UUUUAACCUUGCACUCAGCCUAGAUCCUUGCCGCACGUGAUGCCUUCUUUCUAUGACAUGAUUGAUGUAUAGAGGGUUUCCCUCUUAUCUCUUACCUUCAUCUGGUAUUACAGGCAGCACUUGUCAGUGUCAGAAGUUACGUCUGCCUCUUUAGUUGUGUCAGGAGCCCAAGCUGUGUCUUUUGGACAGGGUUCCUCCGUAAUUCCUUCCCAGGUUGUCAGCUAAGCCUGUUGUUUUCAUUGCAGCAUGCCUGGCUCCUGUGCUCUGCAGAGGAUGCUCCACUCCGUCCGCAGCGAUGCUUCCAGGAGGAGGUCAGCAGCUAAGGAGCGGGCCUUUUUUUCCUUCCCAAAUCCUACGGGGAAGAAGUGACUGCAUGCUAUUCAUUGUUUUGAGAUUAUUUAAGAAACCACUGCUAUUGAACUAGCAGGAGAUCCUCUCGUCCGUGACCUAUGCCAGAGCAUCUGAUUGUUGUGCCCCAGGUGCAGGCCAUAAUUUUCAUGGGAAAGUAUUAAGAACGCAUGAAGAGUGACCGUCCUCUCUGCUAGCCCUCUCUGAUUUGUAUGGGCUUGUCCUGGCCUUUCCAUCCGCAGUGUGGAGGUGGUUGUUUGUUUUCUUCUUAAAUGGUGUCCUGCCUUCCUCCUCUUUUUUGACAAAACUGUACAUACAUGGAGACUCGCUGAGUGUUGAGCACGGCACGUGAAUGGAGGGGCCACUUCAAACUACUUUUGCAAGAAGGGAUUCCGCUCGACAGAUAAUGAAACCAUGGGAUAGACCUCAGGGAGUGUUCAGCCUGAUUGCUACUCAGAGUCAGCACCAGUGCUGCUGCUGGUUUCCCACAGCUACAAUUUUGAGUAAGCAGGUAGUUUAUUGCAAAGCAGAGAUCACCAGGGGCAAUUCAGAACUUCUGUUUGGCUUUGGAGAUUUUUUGGAUCCAUCUAUGAAGAACCUAAUUGCACUGAGCUGUGCUGAGUUAGAAUUGUGCUCAAGAAAUUUUCAGAGCAGCUGACCAAAUUUUGAAUGAUCAGACCUGGCCUGUUGGGUCAGGGAAUGAAGAUCGGGUGGCUCCUACUGUCUUGCUGUAGGUGAGGCCCAGGCUUAGCCUAGAAAUUAGCUGAAGCCUACAUCUCUGAUUAUGGUGACACUGUAAACUUGAGCUUUCACCUCCUGCUAGAAAUUGUUGCUUGCAUCUCUUCUCAGCAUCUGGCCAAGUGCAAUUUUGACUCUGUUACCAUCAGAUGUUUCACCGUCUUCUCUAAUCUGGAGACGUGUUUUGGGACUUGGCUCUGUAACUUUCCAGGACCAAGACUUUCUUUUGCGUCAAAC